AACGAACGCUGGCGGCAUGCCUAACACAUGCAAGUCGAACGAGACCUUCGGGUCUAGUGGCGCACGGGUGCGUAACGCGUGGGAACCUGCCCUUAGGUUCGGAAUAACUCGCCGAAAGGGGUCCGAAUACCGGAUAAUGACUUCGGACCAAAGAUUUGUCGCCUUGGGAUGGGCCCGCGUUGGAUUAGCUAGUUGGUAGGGUAAAAGCCUACCAAGGCGACGAUCCAUAGCUGGUCUGAGAGGAUGAUCAGCCACACUGGGACUGAGACACGGCCCAGACUCCUACGGGAGGCAGCAGUGGGGAAUAUUGGACUAUGGGCGGAAGCCUGAUCCAGCAAUGCCGCGUGAGUGAUGAAGGCCUUAGGGUUGUAAAGCUCUUUUACCCGGGAUGAUAAUGACAGUACCGGGAGAAUAAGCUCCGGCUAACUCCGUG
rnacentral:rRNA from 1 species